GGCAGACGAAUAGUAACUUGAAGACUUGUAUUACAAACUUUCUCAGAAGACUUUCUCAGGCUCUUCAGACAAUUUUGUGCUUUUUGCCAAUCAUUGUGUGCCGAAACCAAACUCUUCCAGUCGGGUCAGGACUGGUUAGAGAAAUGGACGACGCAGAACUGGAAGUUGACCAUGAUGGGACAACUAUCCAAGAGGUGGAAACGGAUUUGAAAAAUCAGGAUGAUCUUUCACUCCAUUCCUUUGAUGAGGCAGAUUAUCUGGUCAGUAAUUUAUGCAUAGUGAUAGGUGAAAGGGAUGACACAGAAUUGGUAAGAUCCUUUUUUUUACAUAAACCUAAAUGGUUAAUCAUCAAACAUGGUCAAAUGCCUCUGAGGAACUGUGUCUCUAAUGUAGGAAAUGGAACGUGGUGGGAACACUAUCCGUCAGUCUGUAGAUUACGAUGACCUCUCUCUAUGUUCAGUCAGCGAGAGAGAUUUUCUGUCUGACGAGGACCGU